UCCCUGGUAGUAUAUCGGAUUAGUACACGCGCCUGUCAUAAAUAUCGAUUGUAGUUCCGCGCGAGAGCGGGGUUCGACUCCCCGCCAGGGAG